rnacentral:lncRNA from 1 species
UCUUUUUUUUUCCUUCCUUGCCCAAAAACUUUUCUUUCUGCCCUAGCCAUCCAAAUCCUUAGCCACAUUACUAAAUGUCCAAACUUUGAAUUGAAAAAUCUUAAUAGCGUAGAAAAGGAUCGCCGGAUUCUCCUUCUUCUAAUCUAGCACACGUUUGGAUUGAAACCCAAAAAUCCAAGAAUGUGACAAACCUAAAACCUAGCUUUUCCUUUUGUGCUAUCUGUGUGUCUAC